rnacentral:misc_RNA from 1 species
AACGCACCUUGCGCCUUUUGGUAUUCCGAGAGGCAUGCCUGUUUGAGCGUCAUUAAAUUCUCAACCUCAAAAGCUUUUUUGUUUCUGAGGCUUGGAUGUGGAGGUUGCAGGCUUUUGUGUAAAAAAUCAGCUCCUCUUAAAUGCAUUAGUGGGAAACUGUUUGUUAGUCCGCAUUGGUGUGAUAAUUAUCUGCGCUGUUGUGGCUAACAAGCUCAUGUAGUUGUUCGAUUGGAAAGUUGCAUUCUUAUGUGUGCUCUUUCUGUUAAUACUUGACCUACAUCGAGUUUAUAUAGUUAUCUGCUUCAAACUGUCCUAAGUUAACUGGACACUUGACUAUUUUGACCUCAAAUCAGGUAGGAUUACCCGCUGAACUUAA